GAUUAGAGUUUGAUCCUGGCUCAGGAUGAACGCUAGCUACAGGCUUAACACAUGCAAGUCGAGGGGCAGCAGAUCGAAAGCUUGCUUUUGAUGCUGGCGACCGGCGCACGGGUGAGUAACGCGUAUCCAACCUUCCCUAUAGUAGAGAAUAGCCCGGCGAAAGUCGGAUUAAUGCUCUAUGUUGUAUUUAGAGGACAUCUGAAGAAUACCAAAGGUUUACCGCUAUAGGAUGGGGAUGCGUCUGAUUAGGUAGUAGGCGGGGUAACGGCCCACCUAGCCGACGAUCAGUAGGGGUUCUGAGAGGAAGGUCCCCCACAUUGGAACUGAGACACGGUCCAAACUCCUACGGGAGGCAGCAGUGAGGAAUAUUGGUCAAUAGACGGAAGUCUGAACCAGCCAAGUAGCGUGCAGGAUGACGGCCCUAUGGGUUGUAAACUGCUUUUAUAUAGGGAUAAAGUC
rnacentral:rRNA from 1 species